GAUGAACGCUGGCGGCGUGCCUAAUACAUGCAAGUCGAGCGAACGGACGAGAAGCUUGCUUCUCUGAUGUUAGCGGCGGACGGGUGAGUAACACGUGGAUAACCUACCUAUAAGACUGGGAUAACUUCGGGAAACCGGAGCUAAUACCGGAUAAUAUUUUGAACCGCAUGGUUCAAAGGUGAAAGACGGUCUUGCUGUCACUUAUAGAUGGAUCCGCGCUGCAUUAGCUAGUUGGUAAGGUAACGGCUUACCAAGGCAACGAUGCAUAGCCGACCUGAGAGGGUGAUCGGCCACACUGGAACUGAGACACGGUCCAGACUCCUACGGGAGGCAGCAGUAGGGAAUCUUCCGCAAUGGGCGAAAGCCUGACGGAGCAACGCCGCGUGAGUGAUGAAGGUCUUCGGAUCGUAAAACUCUGUUAUUAGGGAAGAACAUAUGUGUAAGUAACUGUGCACAUCUUGACGGUAGCUAAUCAGAAAGCCACGGCUAACUACGUG
rnacentral:rRNA from 1 species